rnacentral:lncRNA from 1 species
AGCCACCUACGACUUCAAGAUGGCUGACCUGCAGCAGGUGGCCCCAGAGGCCACUGUGCGUCGCUUCCUUCAGGGCCGCCACUGUGAGCAGAGCUCUGACUGCAUCUAUGGGCGAGACUGCAGGGCGCCAUGUGACAAGCUCCGGCCACUUGGGCUCUGCUGUGGGUGGAACUCCCACAGGCUAUCUACCCCCCUGCAAUCAAGUCUCCCCACUCAUCCCAGCUCAGCAGGAGUCCCUGUCAGAGGCUGGCCCACUGGGGCCAUUCCUCUGAAUAUGUAAAUAAAUGGCUCUUAUGUG